rnacentral:lncRNA from 1 species
GGAAAGUCGUAUUCCCGAUCUAGUUUCUUACAUAAAAACUAUAUCCCUUGCCUAACAUUUUUUGGUUUAUCAGACACAUUUGCUCAGCGUUGUUGACAGUGUGAUGAUGUUUAAAGCUGAUCAACAGGCAGUUUUGACAGGACCUACGCAGUUGUUUGUUUUUUUUAUGCAGGAACGACAAAUAAAGACAAAGGUUGACAGGUCAUCUCUGCAAUUUUAUUAUUUUUUUUAUGUGUUGUAAUAGCGUCCCACUUCUACGCGUCAACUGCCAUUGUUUAGCAUCUCCGUGGAAAACGAUUGGUACGCAAACGUUUAUGUACACCCCAUGUGGUAAACCCGAUUUCUCAAUUAGGAAAUGCGCGUGGCUUAUUGGGUGUUAUAAAUAGUUGGAUUGGUGCUGCGUAUGGGCUGCUGAUUACAGCAGAGUCAGCGUUCGUUGCGCGAUUGGAACUGCCCCAGACAAAAAGUCUUCAUCUUUUACUAAUAAGCAACAAAUUGUGCUUGUUUGAUAUUACUGAUUGUAGCCGUUACGUCAACCAGCUUGGAUUCCAACAGCGACAUGGCUGAUAACAAGGAUUACUCACUUCCAGCAGAAACCUCUGCAGUUAUCGGGUGGAGCCUCGAAUACCUCCGUCCCCAUUGCUUAGGAUUGAGAAGAAACAGUUCCAUCAGCAGUCUGCAAAAUGCCGAACGUUCAUGGUGCCACUAUUGUAACGUCGUUAGGAUCCUUUAGGAUAUCUUUUGUGGUUUUUAUACGGUAAAUGUUUUAUUUAAAAACAAUAGUCUUUGUUGUAGGAUCCUGCAACUAUCAUUAAAUUAGGAGGACUGCGUCCUGCUAAUAAUAAGCGGAAAAAUCCUGUGUGCCCGUGACUCGCGUUGCAACCAUUUCAUUCACGAAUGUUGGUUCCUCAGAUUGUGGGGAUUUCGUAAUAGAAAAGUAUCGUUUGCCUAUUUUGAAACUACCCGAUGAGAAUCUAACACAUCAGCGUCAACAAACGUGAAAGAAUGGUGUGAUGUUUUUUGUCACUAAUGACGCAAAAUUAAAAUGUCUGCCCAGGAAUCGGCCCGUUCGAAUCCCAGGAAAAUAUGGAUGGAUUGUAUUUGUUUAUAUAUUUAAACAUUCCUAUGGGAAGGUAUUGACCAAUAAGAACAAACAAAGGAAAGUAACCCCUGGGUUCCUGAUUUCUUUGCCUCUCACAGUUACGUAGGAAGAAAGAAUCCUUCAAAAAAAAUAUUCUAAGUCCAGAAGUGGCUCUCAAAAUGAUGAGGACUAGUAGUGAAAAUAGAAAUGUCUAUCAUCGUUGAUUGGUAGAGCAUCGGAUAAACAAGUCAAAUGUUUGGUGUUCCAUUCUCAACCGUGUUGUAAAGAUAAUAGAAAAAAACGUUACUGUUACAAAUUUAUAAUGUAAUAUUGCUGGUGUAAAUGGCUUAUCUUAAUUUGACAGGAAAAUAAUUAUACAUCACUUAUGGCUUAAUGGUUGAGCUUCGGCAUCGGGGAUCGAUUCCCAUAUGAGGUAAAUUAUAAAUCAUAAACUGUUUAAAAGUCUAAUCUGAGAACGACAAUAUAUGCGAACGUUGCACGAUUAUGAAUACAGUUCAAAUUACCUUAUAAAAA